UAAGAGUGAAAGGGAAGAAAGGACCGUAAACUCAUGGGUUGCCUCCCAUGAAGCGCUUCUUUCUCGUCAUUAGCUUGACGCUUCAUCAUCACAAGUUAGGGAGGAUACUUCAACUUUGAUUCAACCCGGCUCCUCUUGUUCUCUUCAUUCAAAGGAGCAAUAUUAAUAUCAAUAAGUAAUGAUUUCACACUUCCCGAAUCACUCUUGAGAUCUUCCCC
rnacentral:lncRNA from 1 species